CUACGGGCUGCUGCAGUGAGGAAUAUUGCACAAUGGGGGGAACCCUGAUGCAGCAACGCCGCGUGGAGGAUGACGCAUUUCGGUGUGUAAACUCCUUUUAUAUGUCAAGAAAAUGACGGUAGCAUAUGAAUAAGCACCGGCUAACUCCGUGCCAGCAGCCGCGGUAAUACGGAGGGUGCAAGCGUUACUCGGAAUCACUGGGCGGAAAGGACGCGUAGGCGGGUUGGAAAGUCAGGUGUGAAAUCCUACAGCUUAACUGUAGAACUGCACUUGAAACUUCUAAUCUAGAGUAUGGGAGGGGGAGAUGGAAUUAGUGGUGUAGGGGUAAAAUCCGUAGAUAUCACUAGGAAUACCUAAAGCGAAGGCGAUCUCCUGGAACAUUACUGACGCUAGGGCGUGAAAGCGUGGGGGGCAAACAGGAUUAGAUACCCCCGUAGUC
rnacentral:rRNA from 1 species